UGCAGUCGACGGAAGGCCCUUCGGGGUANUCGAGUGGCGAACGGGUGAGUAACACGUGGGUGAUCUGCCCUGCACUUUGGGAUAAGCCUGGGAAACUGGGUCUAAUACCGAAUAGGACCACGCGCUUCAUGGUGUGUGGUGGAAAGCUUUUGCGGUGUGGGAUGGGCCCGCGGCCUAUCAGCUUGUUGGUGGGGUAAUGGCCUACCAAGGCGACGACGGGUAGCCGGCCUGAGAGGGUGACCGGCCACACUGGGACUGAGAUACGGCCCAGACUCCUACGGGAGGCAGCAGUGGGGAAUAUUGCACAAUGGGCGCAAGCCUGAUGCAGCGACGCCGCGUGAGGGAUGACGGCCUUCGGGUUGUAAACCUCUUUCAAUAGGGACGAAGCGCAAGUGACGGUACCUAUAGAAGAAGCACCGGCCAACUACGUGCCAGCAGCCGCGGUAAUACGUAGGGUGCGAGCGUUGUCCGGAAUUACUGGGCGUAAAGAGCUCGUAGGUGGUUUGUCGCGUUGUUCGUGAAAACUCACAGCUUAACUGUGGGCGUGCGGGCGAUACGGGCAGACUAGAGUACUGCAGGGGAGACUGGAAUUCCUGGUGUAGCGGUGGAAUGCGCAGAUAUCAGGAGGAACACCGGUGGCGAAGGCGGGUCUCUGGGCAGUAACUGACGCUGAGGAGCGAAAGCGUGGGGAGCGAACAGGAUUAGAUACCCUGGUAGUCCACGCCGUAAACGGUGGGUACUAGGUGUGGGUUCCU
rnacentral:rRNA from 1 species